rnacentral:rRNA from 1 species
CCUACGGGAGGCAGCAGUGAGGAAUAUUGGACAAUGGGCGCAAGCCUGAUCCAGCCAUGCCGCGUGCAGGAAGAAGCAUCUAUGGUGUGUAAACUGCUUUUGUACAGGAAGAAACACUCCCUCGUGAGGGAGCUUGACGGUACUGUAAGAAUAAGGACCGGCUAACUCCGUGCCAGCAGCCGCGGUAAUACGGAGGGUCCGAGCGUUAUCCGGAAUCAUUGGGUUUAAAGGGUCCGUAGGCGGUUUAAUAAGUCAGUGGUGAAAUCUGGUCGCUCAACGAUCAAACGGCCAUUGAUACUGUUAGACUUGAAUUAUAAGGAAGUAACUAGAAUAUGUAGUGUAGCGGUGAAAUGCUUAGAUAUUACAUGGAAUACCAAUUGCGAAGGCAGGUUACUACUUAUGGAUUGACGCUGAUGGACGAAAGCGUGGGGAGCGAACAGGAUUAGAUACCCUGGUAGUCCACGCCGUAAACGAUGGAUACUAGCUGUUCGGAGCAAUCUAGNGUGNGUAGACGAAGUAGANAGUAUACCACCGUCGGAGUACGUUCG